rnacentral:rRNA from 1 species
GACGAACCGUGCGAGCGUUGUCCGGAUUUAUUGGGCGUAAAGAGCUCGUAGGCGGUUUGUUGCGUCGGCUGUGAAAUCCCGAGGCUCAACCUCGGGUCUGCAGUCGAUACGAGCAAACUAGAGUGUUGCAGGGGAGACUGGAAUUCCUGGUGUAGCGGUGAAAUGCGCAGAUAUCAGGAGGAACACCGGUGGCGAAGGCGGGUCUCUGGGCAACAACUGACGCUGAGGAGCGAAAGCGUGGGGAGCGAACAGG